UACGGAGGGGGGCUAGCGUUGUUCGGAAUUACUGGGCGUAAAGCGCGCGUAGGCGGAUCUGCAAGUCGGGGGGUGAAAUCCCCGAGGCUCAACCUCGGAACUGCCUUCGAUACUGCGGGUCUCGAGUCCGGGAGAGGUGAGUGGAAUUCCUAGUGUAGAGGUGAAAUUCGUAGAUAUUAGGAAGAAACACCAGUGGCGAAGGCGGCUCACUGGCCCCGGUACUGACGCUGAGGCGCGAAAAGCGUGGGGAGCAAACAGGG
rnacentral:rRNA from 1 species